ACAGUGUAUGCAAAUGAUGAAU
rnacentral:miRNA from 1 species